UACGUAGGGCGCAAGCGUUAUCCGGAAUUACUGGGCAUAAAGCGCACGCAGGCGGCUUGCUAAGUCGGGUGUGAAAUCCCUUGGCUCAACCGAGGAACUGCAUUCGAUACUGGUAGGCUCGAGGACGGGAGGGGUAAGCGGAACUCCAGGUGGAACGGUGAAAUGUGUAGAUAUCUGGAGGAACACCGGUGGCGAAAGCGGCUUACUGGCCCGUAUCUGACGCUCAUGUGCGAAAGCUAGGGGAGCAAACGGG
rnacentral:rRNA from 1 species